GUAGGUGAACCUGCGGAAGGAUCAUUACAGAGAACUUGCCCUUCGGGGUAGAUCUCCCACCCGUUGUUUACAUGCUUUGUUGCUUUGGCAGGCCUGUCGUCAGACUACUGGCUCCGGCUGGUUCGCGCCUGCCAGAGGACCCCAAACUCAUAUUUCUAUACUGUCUGAGUACCAUACAAUAAGUUAAAACUUUCAACAACGGAUC
rnacentral:misc_RNA from 1 species